GCUUUUCGACGGCACUAACGGUUACGAAUAAUCGAUUGGUUGCGGAGAUUUUGGCGUUUGGCUCGUUCCGAGGGAACUUUUGGUCUUUGCGUUUCGUUUCGGACGCGGGUUUCUCGAUACAUUUUUCUCUUCGGUAUUCGGUGGGAUUCGCGUUGUUGUAGUUGUAUUAGGUUCGUAAUGUUUAAGUUUACUCUCGUCGUUCUCGCGGUUUGCGUCGUUGGGAAUUCGGCUUCGUCGUAUAGAUGUAGGUUCGUCGAGUUCCUAGAACGGUGAAUGUAUUUCGAAACGCAAUAGUGGGUGUGCUUUCUUCCAAAUCACCGGAAAGGAAAGUUCGACUACCAUAGGACAAUCAGCGUAUCCGAUAGAGGAUCCGUAAUAAGGAACGAUUACGGCGACCUUCGGCGAUCUUUACCGUACGCUGAAAUUUCUGCUUACGUAUUUUUGAAUACGUGUCACGUAUUGAUGACUCAAUCGGCGGUACUUCGAGUCCAACGUAUAAUCUCUGGAAACACGCCUCGAUCGCCGUGCACGUACGUUCGAGGCUCGAGCCAGACAGCUUUGAAAACUAGGAACGUUUCAAGUGUAAUUUCAAAAUAGUUCAUGGACUUCUAUUCGAUAAAAUAUGAAAUUUAGCUUCUAUAUUUGACCGUGAACCUGCGGCGAGUAGGAGAAUAUUUAUAUACUGCGAUUUUUGUAUAUUCUAGAUACACGAGUCAUUGGUAAUAUUAGUACAGAAAAUCUAAAGGAACAGUAUUAACAUUUCCAUCAGGUAUAAGCAGGUAAAUAAAUAAUUGCGAAAAUUGUAUGAAUGAUUUAGUAGAAUGUCCAUAAGAACGAGAAGUGAGAUAAAUAUUCAACAGAUUCAUGGUUCGUUGUGUAAAUACUGGGAGCAAAGGAGAAAUGAAUUAUUUAUUAUUUUGAAGUCUAGGUUCAGGUGGCAAGGAAUCGCAAGUGGAGAGCAUAUCCUUAUACGUUCCCUCGCGAGGACACGGUUGUGUAAAAAAUUCAAAUCUCACCUGGACGUUACGCCACUGCGUGGGACGAUGCACAGUGCAGUCGAGCAAUGCACCAAGGUCGAGGCCACGUAUACUCGAGAGUGCAUCUUGCUCGUGUACGCGUGCGGUCAAACACGCGUCCCGUGUUCACGCUAUUCGACGCACGCAAACCAGUGUUAAGUGCAAGGACCUCCCCUUGCGUGUUUCUGAAACGCUUGCUAAUUUGUCGGUCGCUAUUCAUUCUCGCUAUGCAAUUUUUUUCACUAGUGUGUAUCGAUCUCUGCUCCCUCCGUUUUUGGCACGAGGCAGAAAUCGAGACAUCCUGGCUGUACAAAGUCAUCGUGUCUUCAGUCUGCGUAUCAAUGGAAACGUGGAAUAAACUAAUUCUUUUUAAUGAACAGUAGAUUUCUAUGGAAAGUACUUUUUUUAAAUAUUUUUACUUGAGAAGUAGGACUUUAUUUUACAAUUAGAGAAUAUUAAAUGAAUCUAUGAUAACUUCAUGACGGUGUGAAAUGUCGUCAACGAAGAGGAUGUCUUAACGAGAUAAUGACUUUUGGCGAUGAACGUUUUGAAUUAUUCAUAUUCUACCGGAUUCCAAUCUGAGACUCCAUUAGUGUACUAAUUGGAUUCGACUUAUCGAAUGUAAUUUGUUUACAGUAAUAGUAUCAUUGUCUCUUUAUUAAGCCCUUUGUGAAGUUUAUGUUAAAAUUUGUUAGAAUGUAACGAACUCGGGUUUUAGAAGCCUCAAACUUCAAAAUUAUUUGUUCUUAAAGAAUCUAAUGAUUCCUCAUUUUCAGUUGGGUGUAUUUUGUAUAAAUUGAUACGCACUUAUCAAAUUCGUUUUAUCUCUGUUUCAUAUUUCCUCGAAUAAGCAUUGAGUUCAGAGGAAUGUGAUGCAGCUUACUUUCGAAGGUUGAUGAUGUCAGCUAAAUUUAAUACGAUCAAAUAUUUCUCAUCGCAUUCAGGGGUUCGUGUAUGUACUAAUUUUUCAUAAUUCACCCGUUACGUAUGUACGCGCAUAGGUACGUAUAUACUUUCUCACGUUGCAGCGUCGAUACGGUAUGAUUAAUCUGGAAUGCUUUUUAAGGGUGUAUCGGCAUCCAAUCUUUUACGGCACUGUUUCACGCAUGCCAGGUGCAAUCACGCUUGACCACUCGAUCCUUUCUUGCUGGUCGAAUCACUUACGAUUUCCAUCGAAGGAUGAUUAAAACCGGAUCGAAUUAAAACCGGUCAAGGUGACGUCCUUGCAACCUGGAUGGUCUUUGGGCGAAGGAAUUCGGUUUUACGAGAGAUCAUCGAUCACUCUGCUUCAUACAAUAGGACAAUUAGAAAAUAGAAUAUAAAGUCGUUACUACACACUGAAAUAUUCCUUCAGACAUUGUAUUCGAGGUUCUACGAUAAAACUUCGGGACACGAAUACGUCUUUUUAUCUUCUACACAUUCCCUAGAUUACACGGGAAUUUGUCGAUAACUAAAUUUCUUUUAUCAAGAUGCGCAUGUCGAGACGAUAAAGUAAAGAACGAUACGCUGCGCUGAAAAUAAAGAGAGCAACACAUAGGACAACGGUAUUAUUUUCUAGACAACUUUAUUACAUAUCAGAAUACAGCCUACAGUUUGUAAAUUAGAUACUUAUCGAUAUACUCUUAAAUAUAAGUAACAUCCGGCAGGCUUAAAUAAGAGACAUUGCCAUCUAAAGUCCAUUAAAAAAUAUGAAAAAACGAUUGUUAACCGGAUUAAAAAAUAAAUCUUGAAAAGUCAUAAUGCACAUUGCUUUGCUUCUUGUUCAUUUUCAUUUUUUCCUUUUCCAUUUAUUAUCGAUUACAAAAAAUUGUCCCCAGUGUGUCGGUGUGAUUAUGUUCAUUGUAUUAAUAUGUAUAUGUGUGGGCCGCGCGGGCGCGUGUAACGAUAUGUAAUUGUGUUCACAUUAUGUGCGUGUCCGCCAAUAUUCAGGGGGUGUGAUCGUUAGAUUCCCGUUUUCGUCAGCACUGGGUCACGGAAAGGUACCGGACGUGCAUAUACGGAUUUCCCCUCACGUAUUUCCUGCGUUCACCGAUUCCCCUCCUUGUGUGUGUCCGUCUAGAUUCACAACAUGUACAUCUGUGUUUAUGUUAGAAUGUCGAGGAAGAGCCCGUGGCAGUGAACAGAAUGGGUAUGUAAAUGUAACCUACGAUC